rnacentral:rRNA from 1 species
GACGAACGCUGGCGGCGUGCUUAACACAUGCAAGUCGAACGGAAAGGCCCUGCUUUUGUGGGGUGCUCGAGUGGCGAACGGGUGAGUAACACGUGAGUAACCUGCCCUUGACUUUGGGAUAACUUCAGGAAACUGGGGCUAAUACCGGAUAGGAGCUCCUGCUGCAUGGUGGGGGUUGGAAAGUUUCGGCGGUUGGGGAUGGACUCGCGGCUUAUCAGCUUGUUGGUGGGGUAGUGGCUUACCAAGGCUUUGACGGGUAGCCGGCCUGAGAGGGUGACCGGCCACAUUGGGCCUGAGAUACGGCCCAGAAUCCUACGGGAGGCAGCAGUGGGGAAUAUUGCACAAUGGGCGGAAGCCUGAUGCAGCAACGCCGCGUGCGGGAUGACGGCCUUCGGGUUGUAAACCGCUUUCGCCUGUGACGAAGCGUGAGUGACGGUAAUGGGUAAAGAAGCACCGGCUAACUACGUG